rnacentral:misc_RNA from 1 species
UUUCCGUAGGUGAACCUGCGGAAGGAUCAUUAAUGAGUUGUCAUGGGGUUCGAUGCUGGCAGCCAAUUUUUGGAUGCAUGUGCUUGCCCUAACAAUCAUCUUCCAAACACCUGUGCACAUUUUUGAGGGAGUCUUGAGUUGGUUGCCGCUCUUGAGUGAUUUUCUCACAUUCCCUUAAAUCAUUAUACGCUAUUAACAAUGUUGAACGUGCUCUGUGCCGCAAGGCUAUUAAUAUAAUACAACUUUUAACAACGGAUCUCUUGGCUCUC